GGAGUUAUAAAAAAAGUUAUGAAGAAUUGCAGAUCCCUUAACUCUAGAAAAGUACCUUGCAGAGAGAGGCCUGGUUAGAUUGCACCGCUGACUCAAUGGACAUGAAUUUGAGCAAACUGGGAGUUAGCCAAGGACAGGGAAGCCUGGCACGCUGCAGUCCGUGGGGUCACAGUCAGGCACGCCUGAGUGACUGAGCAACAACAGAGGCCAGUAGGAGACAAGGAAGGCUCUGUCUUGCUUCUGGGUUGGUGGGACGAGUCCUGGACUCACCUGAGCUGGAGCCGGCUCAGGUCCUCAUCUCGUGGGACUGGCGGUGACUCCUCCCCUGAGCUGGGCACUGGCGGGCGUGGGCCAAGGUGGUUGGGCCCAGACGGUCCAAAGCAUCGUCAGCUGAAACACCCUUAAAGUCUGAGGAGCAAUGGAAGCCACUUCUAGGAGGAACCGUUGUAGAUCAGAGCUUACAUAACUUCUCUCUGGAGCACCUUUUAACAGAGGAGAACUGGGAGGACUGGCCUUUCCAGGCUACUGUAAUGAGCCAAGUCCUGGUCCAAGGCGUGGGUCUCCACGGGCCCCACUGUCUUUGAGAAGAAGAUGGAUGAAGCUGCAAAAUUGGCUUUUGUUGUUGUUUAGUCACUAAGUUGUGUCCAACUCUUUGUGGCCCCAAGGGGUGUAGUCCGCCAGGCUGCUUUGUCCAUGGGAUUUCCCAGGCAAGAAGACUGCAGUGGGUUGCCGUUUCGGCCUCCAGGAGAUCUUCCUGACCCAGGGAUCGAACCCAGGUCUCCUGCAUGGGCAGGUUGAACCUUGGAGAGGGAAGAGGAAAGCUUCAACACGGGCUUGAAAGCAACAGAAAUUUAAAAAGUAAAUCUCCUAAGCAGAGACAUCACUUUGCUGACAAAGGUCUGUAUAGUCAAAGCUAUGGUUUUUCCAGUAGUCAUGUAGAAUGUGACAGCUGGACCAUAAAGGAGGCUGAGUGCUUAAGAACUGAUGCUUUUGAACUGUGGUACUGGAGAGACUCUUGAGAGUCCCUUGGGCUACAAGAAGAUCAAACCAGUCAAUCCUAAAGGAAAUCAACCUGAAUAUUCAUUGGAAGGACUGAUGCUAAAGCUGAAGCUCUAAUGCUUUGUCACCUGAUGGAAAGAACCGACUCAUUGGAAAAGACUCUGAUUCUAGGAAAAAUUGAAUGUAGGAGGAGAAGGGGGUGACAGAGGAUGAGAUGGUUGGAUGGCAUCACUGACUCAAUAGACAUGAGUUUGAAUAAGCUCUGAGAUGGUGAAGGACAGGGAAGCCUGUGUUGCAGUCCAUGGGUUCGCAAGGAGUCAGACACAACUGAAGUGACUUAGUUUGCACACACAUCUUCACAGCAGAGUGUUUCCUGAAAGUCUCAGUCUAUGACAGUGAUGCUCCUGGCUAGAGAUGCCUGUGGUGCUCACAUCGAUCAUCCCACCUGCAGCAGCCCCUACAGACAUCUCCCUGACCAGGGUCCAAGGAUGUGGCUGGAUCAGGCCUUGUGGGUCUUAUGACUGCAGAAUGCACCUCAGCAACAAGCACCAGGAAAGUUUGGAAAAAAGAAGAUUUAUGACUCAGCAGUCCUGGCGGACGUGCAGCACACCCUGACCACAUACUGUGGUCAAGGUUGAAGGAGGGAAGGAG
ensembl:lncRNA